UGAUGCAAUUUAUUAAUUACAAUUAGCCAAACAUUUGGAUUUGUAACCUUCAGCACUCUCUUUAUCUAGCCCGAGCUGGAUUCUUCAGUCAACGGCGGUUCCUCUUCGGGUUCUCUGAGUCAGGAGGCAAGAGGCCAUGCAGAACUCACAGCACCGAGCCUGUCCUCAAGAUCACAGGCGAUGUGAGGGCUGCUAAUGACGUCGAAGUAAGAAGCGUCGAUGACGCGGUGCGUGAUGUGGCGAAGUCCCCGCUCUCCCAGACGAAGAUGGCCAACCCGGAGUUCCUUGCAUCGUCCUCGAUCCAGCCACAAUUCCACCACGAAUUCCCGACCACCACGUCCAUCAACCCGUCUGUCUGUACUAUGCAAUUGUAAAUUCUGUGAACAUGUAGAUCGAACCUGAUUUGGGUUUUUGCUUGGGAUUUGUACGAACAACACGAUGAUAUUUCGGCUAACGGGGGCUUCGUAACGUAUAACCUGUUCAGCUUUUAUUUCUAUUUUUGUGCACGCGCUCCGGGAACCUCCGUUUACCUCCUUCACGUUUCUCAGAUAUUUAUAAAAAAAAACAAAAAACAAAUGUUGUAGCUGGGAAUGAAGACCACUCGUGUUUUGCCCCUUAAUGAAUCACCUCAUACUGAUAAAUGCAUGUUUCUUCCCAGAAUGCAUCCCUCUGCUGUGUUUCUCGUGUUUACAGCGUAAUCCGUGCCGUCACCCGCGAACUGGUUGGCUGUUCUUGGAAAAAAAAAAUCAUUCCGAUAACGGUACGUGCUGAGUGCUCCGUUGCUCUUCCGACGCCACAGCAAUUUGCCAACGUUAACCUUUUUAAAAAAUAAUAAUAAUAAUAAUAAUUUUAUUAAAGAGUGACACCUCGUACUUUUUAUCCGCUUAUAAUUACAUUUACUGUUGUGGAAAACAAGUUCCUGUUCGAAACCAUACCCCGCCCCCCUUGUGUAAAUACUGUACAUGUUCAGGAAUGCCGAGAUGUUUUAGCCCUGUGUGCCUAUACAGCAUCCAUUCCAAGGAGAGGAUUUACGAGACGGAAAUAUAGAGAGCUCUAAAUUCAGAUUCGACAAAAUUUUAUUAUUAUUUUUUUCCUCUUUGAGUCGAAUAGUUUUCUAAAGUCAAAUCAAAUCAGAAGAAAGCCAUGAUUGCCUUGCUACCUCAGACUUAACAGCGUUCAUUUGCGAGAUUUGUGUUGUUUUUUUGUUUUUUUUGUCAUUAUUUUUCUUUCGCAAAACCACAAACAGAAACCUAAAGCCACAAAUGCUAUAUUUUAAAUAACGUUCCUUGAGAUCACUUAUUUAAUAAGAUCAGGGAUGAAGAUCAAGAUUGACAGAUAAGGCUGAAAAUGAAAAGUCAACGAUUUAAAAAAGAAAAGAAAAGAAAAGGUAAACAUAAAAUUCUGUGGUUGGUCUGUGAAUUUUUUUCAUAGCUUUUUAAUUUUUUCUACAUGGUGUAGUUUGUGCUUUUCCCAGUGAAGCAUUAACACUACUAUGACCUGUCCGAUGUGUCCCCGACU
ensembl:lncRNA